UACAGAGGUGGCAAGCGUUGUUCGGAAUUACUGGGCGUAAAGGGCGCGUAGGCGGCCUUCUAAGUCAGACGUGAAAUCCCCCGGCUUAACCUGGGAACUGCGUCUGAUACUGGGAGGCUAGAGUAUGGGAGAGGAAGGUAGAAUUCCAGGUGUAGCGGUGAAAUGCGUAGAUAUCUGGAGGAACACCGGUGGCGAAGGCGGGUCUCUGGGCCGAUACUGACGCUGAGGAGCGAAAGCGUGGGGAGCGAACAGG
rnacentral:rRNA from 1 species